rnacentral:rRNA from 1 species
UACCUUGUUACGACUUCACCCCAAUCAUCGGCCCCACCUUCGACGACUUGCUCCUCUUUCAAGGUUGCUCCAUCGGCUUCGGGUGUUGCAGACUUUCGUGGUGUGACGGGCGGUGUGUACAAGGCCCGGGAACGUAUUCACCGCGGCGUGCUGAUCCGCGAUUACUAGCGAUUCCGACUUCAUGCAGGCGAGUUGCAGCCUGCAAUCCGAACUGAGACCUGCUUUUUGGGAUUGGCUCCACCUCACGGCUUCGCUACCCUUUGUACAGGCCAUUGUAGCACGUGUGUAGCCCAGGUCAUAAAGGGCAUGAUGAUUUGACGUCAUCCCCACCUUCCUCCGGUUUGUCACCGGCAGUCUCUCUAGAGUGCCCACCUUACGUGCUGGCAACUAAAGAUAAGGGUUGCGCUCGUUGCGGGACUUAACCCAACAUCUCACGCCACGAGCUGACGACAACCAUGCACCACCUGUCUCCCUGUCUGUCCGAAGACAAAACAUCUAAUCUCUUAGACUCUCAGGGGGAUGUCAAGACCUGGUAAGGUUCUUC